GGGGCUGUAGCUCAGCUGGGAGAGCGCCUGAAUGGCAUUCAGGAGGUCAGGGGUUCAAGUCCCCUCAGCUCCACCA
rnacentral:tRNA from 1 species